AGCGCUGAGCUUUUUAGCAAACCCUCGCUCUCUCAAAUUCUCAAAUUCUCUCACCUCCUUUCUGAAAACCCGUUCUCUCUCAACUCUCUCUCACAUCUAUGAAGCGCAUAUCCCUCGCGCCUUCCACCGAACUCGCCAAUAUCACCAUCUCUGUCGCACCGUUCAGGUCACCGAGCUCUCCAAGAUGGCCAUCUCCAUUGCGCAGUUCAGUCCACCGAGCUCACCGCGUUGGCCAUUUCCCUCACACUGCCCAUGGCAGCUACCCUUCCUCGUCGAGACCAAUUUUAAGCCCCUAACUGGAUUCCCAUCUUCCAUUUUACGAGCUUUAGAUUAGAUCUUCUUACUCGUAAACCAAAAAGUUUAUGGGAGGAAUGAUGCAGGCCUAGCUUCUGGUGUUACAUUAGUUGUUUCUUUGAUUGUUUUGAAGCUCCCUUGUCCAUUACUGGAUACAGUUUCGAGUUUCACCUUAGAGUACUGAUUCUUAUUGGAAGGACUGGAGUGUUUUCUAUUUCAAGCACAUGGCUAUGGGGAUUUCAUCUGCAUUUAUGCAGAAAGACCCCAAGAUUUGACUACAAUUUUGCAACAUCAACAUGGGUUUUACUCCAAGUCUACCAAUUCAACUUCCUCACUUUGAUUUAAUACGUGGGCAUGUUUAUUGUUGCUUCGUUGUUCCUUUCAGGCAACUUGCUCAGGCUUUUUGGCAAGUAAGGGAGCUAAGCUCCCCUGCUUUCUAAAAUCCCCUGUUCUUGUUCAUUUUCUAGUACUUGUGUUGUGUAACGAUUUUUGCAUUUUAAUUUGCUUUAUUUUCAGAGAGCCUCCAGACUUGUCAAGAGUAGGAAUUCUAUUUUAUAUGUUUUGCAUCAUGUAUAAAUCCUUGGACCCUUUUCAACUCCUGUUUAUUAUGCUUAGACUUAUUCCAUUGAUGAAUUCUCUUUAACCUCUAAUUAUAUAUGUCAAUCUCA